CUAGCUGUAAACGAUGGAUACUAGGCGUUGAGAGUAUCGACCCUCUCAGUGUCGUAGCUAACGCGUUAAGUAUCCCGCCUGGGGAGUACGCGCGCAAGCGUGAAACUCAAAGGAGUUGACGGGGGCCCGCACAAGCGGUGGAGUAUGUGGUUUAAUUCGAUGCAACGCGAAGAACCUUACCAGGGCUUGACAUGUCCGGAACCCUGCCCAAAGGCGGGGGUGCCUACGGGAACCGGAACACAGGUGGUGC
rnacentral:rRNA from 1 species